rnacentral:rRNA from 1 species
UACGGAGGGAGCUAGCGUUGUUCGGAAUUACUGGGCGUAAAGCGUGCGCAGGCGGUUUUGUAAGACUGUCGUGAAAUCCCCGGGCUUAACCUGGGAAUGGCGAUGGUGACUGCAAGGCUAGAGUUUGGCAGAGGGGGGUAGAAUUCCACGUGUAGCAGUGAAAUGCGUAGAGAUGUGGAGGAACACCGAUGGCGAAGGCAGCCCCCUGGGUCAAGACUGACGCUCAUGCACGAAAGCGUGGGGAGCAAACAGG